UAGGGAAUCUUCGGCAAUGGACGAAAGUCUGACCGAGCAACGCCGCGUGAGUGAAGAAGGUUUUCGGAUCGUAAAACUCUGUUGUUAGAGAAGAACAAGGACGUUAGUAACUGAACGUCCCCUGACGGUAUCUAACCAGAAAGCCACGGCUAACUACGUGCCAGCAGCCGCGGUAAUACGUAGGUGGCAAGCGUUGUCCGGAUUUAUUGGGCGUAAAGCGAGCGCAGGCGGUUUCUUAAGUCUGAUGUGAAAGCCCCCGGCUCAACCUGAGAGGUUCAUUGGAAACUGGGAUACUUGAGUGCAGAAGAGGAGAGUGGAAUUCCAUGUGUAGCGGUGAAAUGCGUAGAUAUAUGGGGGAACACCAGUGGCGAAGGCGGCUCUCUAGUCUGUAACUGACGCUGAGGCUCGAAAGCGUGGGGAGCAAACAGG
rnacentral:rRNA from 1 species